rnacentral:rRNA from 1 species
GAUGAACGCUGGCGGCGUGCCUAAUACAUGCAAGUCGAGCGAACGGACGAGAAGCUUGCUUCUCUGAUGUUAGCGGCGGACGGGUGAGUAACACGUGGAUGACCUACCUAUAAGACUGGGAUAACUUCGGGAAACCGGAGCUAAUACCGGAUAAUAUUUUGAACCGCAUGGUUCAAAAGUGAAAGACGGUCUUGCUGUCACUUAUAGAUGGAUCCGCGCUGCAUUAGCUAGUUGGUAAGGUAACGGCUUACCAAGGCAACGAUGCAUAGCCGACCUGAGAGGGUGAUCGGCCACACUGGAACUGAGACACGGUCCAGACUCCUACGGGAGGCAGCAGUAGGGAAUCUUCCGCAAUGGGCGAAAGCCUGACGGAGCAACGCCGCGUGAGUGAUGAAGGUCUUCGGAUCGUAAAACUCUGUUAUUAGGGAAGAACAUAUGUGUAAGUAACUGUGCACAUCUUGACGGUACCUAAUCAGAAAGCCACGGCUAACUACGUG